CACGGGGGGAGCAAGCGUUGUUCGGAAUCACUGGGCGUAAAGGGCGUGUAGGCGGUUAGGUAAGUGGGAUGUGAAAUGCCCCGGCUCACCCGGGGACCUGCAUCCCAAACUGCCCGACUUGAGUAUGGGAGAGAAUGAGGGAAUUCCUGGUGUAGCGGUGAAAUGCGUAGAUAUCAGGAGGAACACCGGUGGCGAAGGCGCUCAUCUGGCCCAAUACUGACGCUGAGGCGCGAAAGCUAGGGGAGCAAACGGG
rnacentral:rRNA from 1 species